GCGUGCGCGGGACGGGAACGGGGCGCGGAGGAAAGUUCGGAGCUGGGGCGGCUCCGGCGUGGGUGUUGUCAACAAGCAAUAAGCUGCUCCUAGCGGUGUCUGCGCUCUGCUCUGGCCGUUCCUUGAGUUAAACGUGUUUUAUCGCUGUGUGUUGUGCCAAAACGCUGGAAUUCGGGCUGUGGGCUGGGUGGUACCGGGAGUUUCCUGAGCAUCUUUUCGCGUCUUUGUGUGUGUGGCGUCUCCGCCGUCAUCCCGAGCAGUUUUCAGAGGUGAUGUAAGGCAGCGAUAGAAGCUUGUCAAAUCAGUGUCGUGACUUGUGCCAUAUACAGUAUUUUUCGGGGAGAAUCACGCACAGAAUCACAGAAUGAAUUAGGUUGGCAAGACCUCAGAUCAUCGAGUCCCACCUGUGACCGAACACCACCCUGUCAACAAGACCAUGGCACUGAGUGCCACGUCCGAUCUUUCCUUAAGCACCAGUGCAGUCCUACGGAUUUUGGGAAACCUGUGACAGGCGUACUCUUAUUUUUAGUGAGCUUCCCUAGUCCUAAAAAAACCCCUGAAGCCUUUCACAAGAAGUGAAAAUGUUUUCCUAUCAUUUAGAAUUCUAUGGGCUUUUUUAUUACCAGCUGAUAAAACACGUUUCAGAUUUUCACAAAGUAACAAAUCAAAUAAAAGUUGCUUCUUUCCUGCAAAACAAAUGUGCAAGUACUUACACUUGUGCUAAACAUUACUAUGAGUGUAAAGGCAGGAAGGCAGAUAGUGGAUAUGCAGAAGUCUUGGGAAUAACAGCUCUAUUAUGUUUAAUGUAGUUUUUCUUCUCUAUGUCUUUUUUUCUUGUUUGUUCUUUACACAGCUUCAAGAGAGCAAGAAUGGUCUGCAGUUUUGCACUUUAUUUUAUUGUCCUGUUUUAUGUUUCAUACGUUGUUUUAUUCAUCUUUGAUCAGCGUUUGUCAUUACAGGUUCAAAUAGAGCUAGAGAGGUGAGUGGAAUUUUGGAAUUGUGGAAUUUUGCUGUCACAUGUGAAGGAUCCCCCUUGCACUCAGGAACUGCUGCAGUUUCACUGCCCUUGUUGGAGGUGACCAACCCCGUGGCAGAGUUGGCAUCUCCCUGUGUCCCCUGGCAAAGUGUGACGUCCUCAUUCAGCCCCCACCCCACGCUGGCUUUAAACAGGUACUGACUUGCACUUGGAGCAGCUGACAAAUGAACACGUCCUGCUGUAGCUGUGGUGGCUUCUCUCAGAUGAGUAAAGCAGAUGGCCAGAGUCAGCGAGUUCUUAUAGUGAGGUUUGAUGUGUUAAAAUUUAAACUGUGAUUUUUAUAGGAAAAAAAACUUCUCUAGUUUAAAUACUGGUUUAUAAUGCCCUCCCUAGGAUGUGUUGUGCAUUGUUUCUGCUCUCUCCCUUCUUACAUGGUUCUGUUCUUCAGCAUGUCUCCUUUCCCCAGACUGUCCUUUUUCAUACUGCUGUUUUCCCUGUCAUUGGCACUUGGGCAUAUUCUUACGUGUUUCUUCUUCCGUUGGCAUGCUCCUGAUCUUUCUUGAGAGUUAGGUUGCUCCAUUUCUGCCCUGGGCACUUCUGGACAAUGGCAAGAUAGAGCCCAGAGCAUGGUGUUACACGUGUGUGGCUGGGCCUGGAAGUUGUCCUUCUUAGCAGACACUGCUUCUUUGAAAUGCCAGGUUUGAGGUUUAGCUGGAAGAUAUAACUCCGUAUUUCCUUUGUCAGCUUCAGGGAAUCUAAGUCAAACAGGAAUUGAAUGAGGGGCAGUAACUGUUUAAUUGUAAAUCUUCAAAGUGUUUUUGCAAUCAAGGUAAAAGUAGUUACCUGAUGCAUGUACUGCCUUCUUUCAACUCAAUAUUCAUAGAACUAACAAAUAGGGAAAAGAAUAAUUUUUGCACAGUAUUUUUCGCUGACAGCAAUUGAUUAAUAUUUCAGGCUACACAGAUACAUGUUUUCUAAACAUAAGCCCUACCAAAGUUAAAUAAAGAUCCUUUGUAACUUAAAGCUCUAGGCAGAUACAAGAUUUUUCUUUAGUGCCAGUGGUAUUAUGAUUUGUGAAUGCAAUUAUUUUUUUUAUUCUAGGCUAUCAUGGAAGUAGGGGAGUUAUUGAAAUUUGUUCAGACUUCAAUAAAUUUUCUCUCUGUUGCCUAGGAAUUAUGACUUUUUGAUACAUGAUAGAUUGAACUAAACUGUUGAAAAUUAUACAAAACCAGCUUUAUAGUUAGCCACAGGAAGCAUUUUUAAAUUGUAUCUGUCAAGUGCCAAUAUUGAAGAUCAAUUUUUUAUUAUUUAACACAACUGAUAGUUAAUGUUAAAAAGAAGGGUUUAUUAUUCAGAAUACACAAACUGUUUCUGACUUCAGGAACUGCUUGAUCAUUUUCACAUCUCAGCGUUUUCCUUUUCUGUUCAGCCACAGAGCAAUGCCAUGUGCUAAAAUGACAUUGUGAAAGCUAAAACCUUGAUGGUGUGUGUUAAAGAGAUAAGGAAGAACAUGUACCUUUUGAAGGGGAGUGCCAGUUUCUUUAAACUGAGUGCCGGGCUGAUAACACUGUUUGCUUUUGGUAGCCUACUUAGUCCAGAUAGUCUUUUCAGCGCUAGAUAAUCUUUUCAGCCCAGCCAAACUCAAAUUCCGAGUAAUUUGUUUAAUAAAAAAAAUGAAAAAAAAAGGAAAAACCCCACAACAAGACCUUAGAGCUCUGUAAUUUGAGUUUUCUUGAAUGUGGGCAAAAGCAAUUUUGCUUUCUUAUUUUUGGGACUAUUCUUCAUUCAUACAAAGAACUGUAUGUCUGUUUACUGAACUUGUGAAGGAGAAAUCACUUUGGCAACGAAAGGGAAAGAAGUGUCAUUCUCAGGCAGUCAUGACACGGGAAAGGAGUCAGAGUAGUCCAAUCAAAAAAAAUAUGAGUAUCAUGCUGCUGUUCCUGAUUGUCCUCAAAGUUCCACAUAGUGGCUGUAUAUGCAUUUGAAAGUGUUCUGGUCUGUGGUGCUGGCUCAGGAAGCGGGUCAGACUGGACUGAACUCUGGCAUGAACAGAUAGUCUGUUUCAGAGGGAGCUGCUAUUGCUGUGCUACGUGCACACUGUGUGCAUGAUGAAGUGCCAGCCCUUUUGUGUUGUGGGAAUUUUGUGUGUAUAUUCCCUGUACAAAAGGCUGAUUGUGGUAGCAUAAGAGUGUGUUACCUGAGAGAAAACAUGGACCUUCACUGGACCAGCUGCAGUUCAUUUACUUACCAUGAGAACCAAAAGGACCAAAUAGCAAAAUAU